GGGUCAGUAGGUUGGUCGUGCCACCGGUACGUACUGGUCUCACUGAUUCCUCCUUCCUGAAGAACCGUAAUGCCAUUAAUUUGGUGUUGCGGGGAACCAGGACUGUUACUUUGAGAAAAUUAGAGUGUUUAAAGCAAGCUAACGCUUGAAUACAUUAGCAUGGAAUAAUGAAAUAGGACGAUCGAUCCUAUUUUGUUGGUCUCUAGGAUUGACGUA
rnacentral:rRNA from 1 species